AGAGAAGGAGAGGUAGUGUUCACAUUAAAAUCGAAGUUCUGUAUUUUUCUUUAGAAUUUGAAUAAUUGUGCAAUUAUUGUACAAAACAGAAUACGAAUGGCAAGUCUUAUGUAGUCCAAUUUAAUGUCCAUUGGAGAGCAGAUUGGAUGGGAGAGCCAGCCGGCUAGGGUUUGCUUUUUUCCUGGCACGGACUCCUGCCCGUUCACCUCGCUUCCGAUUCAUCGCACAUUGCUUCGAUGUCCCCACCUCCGGCCACCGGCAUCAGGCGACUCCAAGGACUGCAGGUCCGAUUCCCUCAGCAAGCCGAGGUCGCACAAUCUACCCAGCAGAUCUUCAUGAAGAUGGUGCCUGACCUGCUGUGUGUUUCCAGCAUUUUCAGCUUUUGCUAUU